AGCCGACCUUGAAAUACCACCCUUUAAUGUUUGAUGUUCUAACGUGGACCCGUAAUCCGGGUUGCGGACAGUGUCUGGUGGGUAGUUUGACUGGGGCGGUCUCCUCCUAAAGAGUAACGGAGGAGCACGAAGGUUGGCUAAUCCUGGUCGGACAUCAGGAGGUUAGUGCAAUGGCAUAAGCCAGCUUGACUGCGAGCGUGACGGCGCGAGCAGGUGCGAAAGCAGGUCAUAGUGAUCCGGUGGUUCUGAAUGGAAGGGCCAUCGCUCAACGGAUAAAAGGUACUCCGGGGAUAACAGGCUGAUACCGCCCAAGAGUUCAUAUCGACGGCGGUGUUUGGCACCUCGAUGUCGGCUCAUCACAUCCUGGGGCUGAAGUAGGUCCCAAGGGUAUGGCUGUUCGCCAUUUAAAGUGGUACGCGAGCUGGGUUUAGAACGUCGUGAGACAGUUCGGUCC
rnacentral:rRNA from 1 species